rnacentral:rRNA from 1 species
UACAGAGGCCUCAAGCGUUAGGCGGAAUCACUGGGCUUAAAGCGUGUGUAGGUGGAUGCCUAAGUACCUUGUGAAAUCCCACGGCUUAACCAUGGAAUUGCUUGGUAUACUGGGUGUCUUGAGCCACUCAGGGGCUACCGGAACAAACGGUGGAGCGGUGAAAUGCGUAGAUAUCGUUUGGAACGCCAAUGGUGAAAACAGGUAGCUGGGGGUGUGCUGACGCUGAGACACGAAAGCCAGGGGAGCAAACGGG